UACGAAGGGGGCUAGCGUUGCUCGGAAUCACUGGGCGUAAAGCGCACGUAGGCGGAUUGCUAAGUCAGGGGUGAAAUCCUGGAGCUCAACUCCAGAACUGCCUUUGAUACUGGCGACCUUGAGUCCGGGAGAGGUGAGUGGAACUGCGAGUGUAGAGGUGAAAUUCGUAGAUAUUCGCAAGAACACCAGUGGCGAAGGCGGCUCACUGGCCCGGUACUGACGCUGAGGUGCGAAAGCGUGGGGAGCAAACAGGAU
rnacentral:rRNA from 1 species